UGAGUGUGAAAAACCAUAGCAGCUAGCCCUACCUAGAUAACAUCUAUCAACUAAGUCCAGUCUCCAGCGCGAAUUAAACACUACUUGGGGCUAGGUACCUCUCCUGGUGAACGCCCAUCCUGACCUGGUCUGUAUCGGUGCGGUAACCAUGAGGUAGCUGAGGAAAGCUAGACCCAGGUCCAGGCCCAGGCUUUCUAUGAACUGAGACACUAGGCACCUCCUGAAAGCCUACCACCAGGGGUCUCCCACCACCCUCUGUGAAGGCUGAAGCCCAGGGUGACCUGCUCUGUUCAUCAUGGAUACUGUGGUGUUUGCAUCAUAGGAACAGGAGGGUCUAUCUCUAUCAGCCCCAGGCCCUGCUUCAUCCCUGCACUGAGACAGUGAAGAGAAGGGUCUGGGUUGCAGACUGGAUCCCUGACUGGAGCCUCUGUCUCUCUGAUGACCACCAGGACUGAGGUUGUUCAGUCCACCUGUCCAUUGUUUUGUGUGGUGGUGAUGGAGUUUUUAUCCCUUGUGGUUUGUAUUUUUAUUUAUUAUGGAUCCCCAUUAGCUGGAGUCCAGCAAAAUUAAGGCAGAACCACUCCUUUAUUGGGGGUGUCUUGCUAAUUGCCUAUAAUUUCCACCUGUUGUCUAUUCCAUUUGCACAACAGCAUGUGACAUUUAUUGUCAAUCAGUGUUGCUUCCUAAGUGGACAGUUUGAUUUCAUAGAAGUGUGAUUGACUUGGAGUUACAUUGUGUUGUUUAAGUGUUCCCUUUAUUUUUUUGAGCAGUGUAUAAUGUGUUGGUUCAACUGAUAUACAGAACUCAGUCACAGCAAUGACGCAAAAAUAACCAAGUCAGUCAGCACAGAGUCAAUUUUGUAUUUAAUUUCAUCAAUGUACUUUUACUGCACAAAACUAUACCUGUGGCAAGUAGAAUAACUUUUCUCACUAUGGUAACACUUUACAUUUUCUGUAAAUCUGGUACCCUCCCUUUGAUAAAAUACAUUUUUGAAUACUUUGGAGAAGGUUUAACAUUACAUACAUCUUCAGUACUUCAUAUCAAUUAAACGUGAAUUAAGGCA